rnacentral:rRNA from 1 species
CUGGCUCAGGAUGAACGCUAGCGACAGGCUAACACAUGCAAGUCGAGGGCAUCACGGGAGUAGCAAUACAACUGGUGGCGACCGGCGCACGGGUGAGUAACGCGUAUGCAACCUACCUAUCAGAGGGGAAUAACCCGGCGAAAGUCGGACUAAUACCGCAUAAAACAGGGGCACCGCAUGGUGAUAUUUGUUAAAGAAAUUCGCUGAUAGAUGGGCAUGCGUUCCAUUAGGUAGUUGGUGAGGUAACGGCUCACCAAGCCGACGAUGGAUAGGGGAACUGAGAGGUUGGUCCCCCACAUUGGAACUGAGACACGGUCCAAACUCCUACGGGAGGCAGCAGUGAGGAAUAUUGGUCAAUGGACGAGAGUCUGAACCAGCCAAGUAAGCGUGAAGGAUGACUGCCCUAUGGGUUGUAAACUUCUUUUAUAAGGGAAUAAAGUGAGGGACGUGUCCCUUUUUGUAUGUACCUUAUGAAUAAGGAUCGGCUAACUCCGUGCCAGCCGCCGC